rnacentral:rRNA from 1 species
CCUACGGGAGGCAGCAGUGAGGAAUAUUGGUCAAUGGGCGUAAGCCUGAACCAGCCAAGUCGCGUGAGGGAUGAAGGUUCUAUGGAUCGUAAACCUCUUUUAUAAGGGAAUAAAGUGUGGGACGCGUCCCAUUUUGUAUGUACCUUAUGAAUAAGGAUCGGCUAACUCCGUGCCAGCAGCCGCGGUAAUACGGAGGAUGCGAGCGUUAUCCGGAUUUAUUGGGUUUAAAGGGUGCGCAGGCGGGCUUUUAAGUCAGCGGUGAACGGCUGUGGCUCAACCAUAGAAUUGCCGUUGAAACUGGUGGGCUUGAGUAUGUGUGAGGCAGGCGGAAUGCGUGGUGUAGCGGUGAAAUGCUGAGAUAUCACGCAGAACCCCGAUUGCGAAGGCAGCCUGCCAGGCCAUGACUGACGCUGAUGCACGAAAGCGUGGGGAUCAAACAGGAUUAGAUACCCGGGUAGUC